CCUACGGGAGGCAGCAGUGAGGGAUAUUGGUCAAUGGGGGAAACCCUGAACCAGCAACGCCGCGUGAGGGAAGAAGGUUUUCGGAUUGUAAACCUCUGUCCUCUGUGAAGAUGAUGACGGUAGCAGAGGAGGAAGCUCCGGCUAACUACGUGCCAGCAGCCGCGGUAAUACGUAGGGAGGAAGCGUUGUCCGGAUUUACUGGGGGAAAAGGGUGCGUAGGCGGCUUUGCAAGUCAGCAGUGAAAUCCAUGGGCUUAACCCAUGGACUGCUUUUGAAACUGCAAAGCUUGAGUGGAGUAGAGGUAGGCGGAAUUCCCGGUGUAGCGGUGAAAUGCGUAGAGAUAGGGAAGAACACCAGUGGCGAAGGCGGCCUGCUGGGCUCUAACUGACGCUGAGGGACGAAAGCGUGGGUAGCAAACAGGAUUAGAUACCCGGGUAGUC
rnacentral:rRNA from 1 species